UCUCCGUUGGUGAACCAGCGGAGGGAUCAUUACCGAGUUUACAACUCCCAAACCCCUAUGUGAACGUUACCAAACUGUUGCCUCGGCGGGAAAUUCAUGCCCCGGGCGCGUCGCAGCCCCGGACCAAGGCGCCCGCCGGAGGACCAACCAAAACUCUUUUGUAUGUCCCUCGCGGACUUUUAUAAUUCUGAACCAUCUCGGCGCCCCUAGCGGGCGUUUCGAAAAUGAAUCAAGACUUUCAACAACGGAUCUCUUGGUUCU
rnacentral:misc_RNA from 1 species